rnacentral:rRNA from 1 species
CCGCAUACGAUCUAAGGAUGAAAGCGGGGGACUCGCAAGAGCCUCGCGCGAUUGGAGCGGCCGAUAUCAGAUUAGCUAGUUGGUAGGGUAACGGCCUACCAAGGCGACGAUCAGUAGGGGAUGUGAGAGCAUGAUCCCCCACACGGGUACUGAGACACGGACCCGACUCCUACGGGAGGCAGCAGUAAGGAAUAUUGGACAAUGGUCGGAAGACUGAUCCAGCCAUGCCGCGUGAAGGAUGAAGGCGCUCAGCGUUGUAAACUUCUUUUGUACGGGAACAAAAUGCGACCUGCGGGUUGUACUGAGGGUACCGUAAGAAUAAGCACCGGCUAACUCCGUG